GCGGGAGUACCAAAGUGGUCAAAUGGGUUGGACUCAAGAUCCAAUGACUUAGUGUCUUCGCAGGUUCAAAUCCUGUCUCCCGCACCA
rnacentral:tRNA from 1 species